AUCUGUCUAGCCAGCCUGGUUUAUGUGUUGGACUACGACUCUGGAGACCAAGGUUCGAAUCCCUGCUCAGCUG